UCAUUUCUCUCAUUCAAUUUCUAGGGUCCAUGUAGUAUCAAUUUUUGCGUUUUUGGUAUGAAUUUAUUACUUGUGUGUUCAAUUGCAACUUCAGAAAGUUGUUUUCGUUCAAUUUCUAGGGUUCAUGUAGUAUCAAUUUUUGCGUUUUUUGGUAUGAAUUUAUAACUUGCGUGUUCAAUUGCAAUCUUAGAAAGUUGUUUUUGUUUGAUUUUUGAUUGUAUUAUUAUAAUUACUUCAAGUUUCAGCUACGAAUGUUAUUGUUUUAAGCUUCAAUUCAUUUGAAAUUAUUUAACAAACAUUGGAGUUUUGUAUAAUUUCUUCAUUUGGUAAUUAUAUCUAUGUUAUGAAUGUAAUAGAUUAUUGGUGGUGCUGAACAUGUCUUAUUUUGCUCCAUAUGUAUGCAUUACGAUGAGAAAGUUGCUGCUACUAUUUUGAGUAUAUAGACCAUGGUUUUCUGGUGCUAUACAUGUCUUAUUUUGCUCCAUAUGUGUAUGCAUUACAGUGAGAAAGUUACUGCUACUAUUUUGAGUAUAUAGACCAUGGUUUUUUGCUUAAUUUUGCUUGUUUCUUGAGUAGUUUACUCCUCAUGAUUUGGUUGACAAUAUUUGUUAUUUGAUUAACUAGAGAUUGAUAUAACUAUUGUUUUGCCAUUUAUCAGGUUCAAUUGCCAUUUAUUUUCUGUGUUUCUUGUACAAUGCCUCGACUUAUGCAUUCUAUAAGGAAGAAAAAUCUAAAACAAAUACAAAUAGUAAUUGCAAUGGUUAUUAUUAUGUUGAUGAUGUAUUGGAUGUGGUAUAUAAUUAGCGUUGUUACAAUAAGGGGGGUUCAAAUAAAAGAUAGGAAAAGAAACAAAAAAUUGUUACGGAUGUUAGUAUUGAGAGGGCUUUAUAGGAGAGUGAUGUGAAAUGCAAGAGUGAGCUUCGCGUUAAUAGAAAAACUUUCAAUAUUAUUUGUGAGAUGCUUAGAGACAUUGGGGGUUUGAGUGGAACAAAAAACAUGUCGCUUCAAGAGAUAGUAGCCAUGUUUUUAUACACGUUGGCUCAUCAUAAGAAGAAUAGGUCUAUUGGACAUUACUUCUAUAGAAGUGGAGAAACCGUGAGCCGGCAAUUUCACCUUUGUCUAAGGGCUUUUCUCAAGUUGCAUGAAGUACUACUUUACAAUCCCACACAAAUAUUGGAUGAUUGUGAAGAUGAAAGGUGGAAAUCCUUCAAGAAUUGUUUAGGGGCAUUAGAUGGGACUUACAUUAAUGUAAAUGUGCCUUCAAAAGAACGACCAAAGUAUAGAACAAGAAAAGGAACGAUUGCUAUGAAUGUAUUGGGUGUUUGUGCACCUAAUAUGCAAUUUAUUUAUGUUCUUCCUGGUUGGGAAGACUCGGCCCAUGAUAUGCGUGUACUUCGAAAUGCUCUUUCUAGACCAAACGGUUUUAGAGUACCUUGAGAUGGAGGCUAGUCAAGCUAAGGGUGAGGCAAGCAAUCGAGGUAGAGGUAAAAAUAAAAGGUAUUGGACGUAUGAAGCUCAGCAUCUUCUAUCAAGCUCCAAUUAAUAUGAAGAAACAAUAUGCAAUUGAUCUUCUUAAGAAGAAGUAGAAAGUUUUGUCCUAAGUUGUUGUUAUUGGAGUUAAUGUUUUAAUGGUUUUUAAAUGCUUUUUUUUUUAUUAUUAUUAUUAUUUUUUUUAGAAUACUAGAAUUUCAAUGCUUUUGUAGUCAACAACUUAUGUGACUUUGCCUAUAUAUCUAGCAUAUGAUAUAUUAUGGUAAUCGGUUCAAAAAAUAUAUAUAUGUAUAUUAUGGUAAUUAGUGUUGCUCUACAUUGUAUAAUGUAUAUCAAAAGUUAGCCAAGACAUCAAAAAUUAGAAGGAAAACUAUUUGUUUCCAAGUUAUCUAUGCCAAACAAGAGGAAAGGGAUUGAUUCCAAUUAUUUACGUUUCCUUAGUAAUACCAAACAACUAGUAAGGGUAACACUAUAUAUUACCCUUUCCCCUUCUAAUUUGUUUCCAUUCCCUUACAUUUACUAAUUUGAUACCAAACACCCCCUAAUUGUAAAAGAAAAAAGAACUAAAUACAUUCUAAUGUAGGACAUAAAAAUAUUCUCUUGUCUGAUGGUAGCAACUUUGGUGCUAUUAUAUGUUAUAAGUGGAUAAACACCUUUAGUCACCUUUUAGAUUAGUCCCCUAAAACAAGUGGUUUGGUGCAUGGAAAGAAGAGCUUGCAUUAUAAGUAUAGUUUACUAUUAUUUGAAAGGAACCGAAUAUGAAGUAUUUUGGAACAACCUAACAUAAAUGUGACACCUUAUUAUUUAGGGACGUUGAGAUAAUAAUUAUUGAGUUGUUGGUAUAGUUGAUAAUCGUGGUUCAUUGUACGCUUGUGCUUGGACAAGUAAUAUAAAUGCGUGGCCUAAUUAAGAUUAUAUUCUCCCACCCGUCAAAAAAAAAAAAAAAAAAAAAAAAAAAAA